GCGCACGCUGGCGGCAGGCCUAACACAUGCAAGUCGAACGAACCUUUCGGGGUUAGUGGCGGACGGGUGAGUAACACGUGGGAACGUGCCUUUAGGUUCGGAAUAACUCAGGGAAACUUGUGCUAAUACCGAAUGUGCCCUUCGGGGGAAAGAUUUAUCGCCUUUAGAGCGGCCCGCGUCUGAUUAGCUAGUUGGUUGAGGUAAUGGCUCACCAAGGCGACGAUCAGUAGCUGGUUUGAGAGGAUGAUCAGCCACAUUGGGACUGAGACACGGCCCAAACUCCUACGGGAGGCAGCAGUGGGGAAUCUUGCGCAAUGGGCGAAAGCCUGACGCAGCCAUGCCGCGUGAAUGAUGAAGGUCUUAGGAUUGUAAAAUUCUUUCACCGGGGACGAUAAUGACGGUACCCGGAGAAGAAGCCCCGGCUAACUUCGUG
rnacentral:rRNA from 1 species